rnacentral:rRNA from 1 species
GUCCAGACUCCUACGGGAGGCAGCAGUGGGGAAUAUUGCACAAUGGGGGAAACCCUGAUGCAGCGACGCCGCGUGAGCGAUGAAGUAUUUCGGUAUGUAAGGCUCUCUCAGCAGGGAAGAAGAUGACGGUACCUGACUAAGAAGCCCCGGCUAACUACGUGCCAGCAGCCGCGGUAAUACGUAGGGGGCAAGCGUUAUCCGGAUUUACUGGGUGUAAAGGGAGCGUAGACGGCGAUGCAAGCCAGAUGUGAAAGCCCGGGGCUCAACCCCGGGACUGCAUUUGGAACUGUGUGGCUGGAGUGUCGGAGAGGCAGGCGGAAUUCCUAGUGUAGCGGUGAAAUGCGUAGAUAUUAGGAGGAACACCAGUGGCGAAGGCGGCCUGCUGGACGAUGACUGACGUUGAGGCUCGAAAGCGUGGGGAGCAAACAGGAUUAGAUACCCCCGUAU